GUCCCUGUAGCGCAAAUGGAUUGCGCGUUGGACUUCCAUUCCAAAGAUCGUGUGCUCCAAUCCCACCUGGACG